GAGAGGCCACUGUCAUAUUCGAAGUAACCUUAUAUUUGUCUGAGAAAAGCAUCGAGUCGUGUGUCAGAAGCUUGCUGGCCCAGUUCUUUGUGUCGGGACAAAGCAGUGAUGAUUCGAUUUAUUCUGUUGUACAGUACGCUGCAUCUUUUUCUGGUGUUUCAGAACGUGCCUGGUCAGUCAGUCAGUACCUACAGCGUUAAUACCACUGAUGGAGAAAAAUGCACUUACAACGGCAGUGACUAUGGGCCAGGAGAAAACAGCACGCCUGGUUUCUGUGGCCUGACAAGCUGUGACCCAAAAGAAAACGAGCUGACGAUCGUCACGUGUUCAUAUUCUACACCUCCGCCGCCAUGUGUGUUGCUACCGCCCACUGGCAACGAAUACCCAUCCUGCUGUCCUGAUUAUGUAUGUUGACAUAAUGAACCAUCAUUACAUAUAUGAAAGACUGGGUCGGUGAACACAGUGAGACAUGGGCGACAAGUGGAUCAUAUCAAUGAAAAUAUCUUCCAGAGCGAUUGAUGACCAAUUCCGGUUAUAACGGUAAAGAAAAAAUGGCUGAACAUAAUCAGUCCGGUUCUAUAAAUCAACGAGCUUAUCUAUUUAUUGAAACGGCCAACACAGGACAGGACGUCUCGUUAUAUUGUAAUAUUAUAAUAAAUUAUGUAGUUAAAGCAAACUAUUCAAUGAA